CCCCAAGAAAAUCUUCUAGCGAGGUUCGAGCCGCCCGUACCCCAAACCGACUCAGGUGGUUAGGUAGAGAAUACCAAGGCGAUCGAGUGAAUCGUGGUUAAGGAAUUCGGCAAAAUGCCCCCGUAACUUCGGGAGAAGGGGGGCCCGGAACCUGAAGUGACUUGCUCACUAGGGUGAAGGGCCGCAGAGUCCAGGGAGAAGCGACUGUUUACUAAAACACAGGUCCGUGCGAAGUCGCAAGACGAUGUAUACGGACUGACGCCUGCCCGGUGCUGGAAGGUUAAGAGGACCGGUUAGACCGCAAGGUCGAAGCUGAGAAUUUAAGCCCCAGUAACGGCGGUGGUAAUUAUAAUCAUCCUAAGGUAGCGAAAUUCCUUGUCGGGUAAGUUCCGACCUGCACGAAUGGCGUAACGACUUCUCCACAGUCUCAACCGCGAACUCGGCGAAAUUGCACUACGAGUAAAGAUGCUCGUUACGCGCAGCAGGACGGAAAGACCCCGGGACCUUUACUAUAGCUUGGUAUUGGUGUUCGGUACGGCUUGUGUAGGAUAGGUGGGAGACUGUGAAGCAUGCACGCCAGUGUGUGUGGAGUCAACGUUGAAAUACCACUCUGGUCGUUCUGGAUAUCUAACCUCGGUCCGUGAUCCGGAUCAGGGACAGUGCCUGGUGGGUAGUUUAACUGGGGCGGUUGCCUCCUAAAAGGUAACGGAGGCGCUCAAAGGUUCCCUCAGCCUGGUUGGCAAUCAGGUUUCGAGUGUAAGUGCACAAGGGAGCUUGACUGCGAGAGAGACAUCUCGAGCAGGGACGAAAGUCGGAACUAGUGACCCGGCGGUGGCUUGUGGAAGCGCCGUCGCUCAACGGAUAAAAGGUACCCCGGGGAUAACAGGCUGAUCUUGCCCAAGAGUCCAUAUCGACGGCAUGGUUUGGCACCUCGAUGUCGGCUCGUCGCAUCCUGGGGGUGGAGUUGCUCCCAAGGGUUGGGCUGUUCGCCCAUUAAAGCGGUACGCGAGCUGGGUUUAGAACGUCGUGAGACAGUUCGGUCCCUAUCCGCUGUGCGCGUAGGAAACUUGAGAAGGGCUGACCCUGGUACGAGAGGACCGGGUUGGACGAACCUCUGGUGUGUCAGUUGUCCUGCCAAGGGCACCGCUGAUUAGCUACGUUCGGAAGUGAUAACCGCUGAAAGCAUCUAAGCGGGAAGCACGCUUCAAGAUGAGGUUUCCAUGCACCAUCAGGUGUGAGAGGCUCCCGGCUAGACUACCGGGUUGAUAGGCCAGACGUGGAAGUGCAGCAAUGCAUGUAGCUGACUGGUACUAAUAAGCCGACAACUUGGU
rnacentral:rRNA from 1 species